rnacentral:rRNA from 1 species
AUGACUCUCGGCAACGGAUAUCUAGGCCCUCGCAUCGAUGAAGAACGUAGCGAAAUGCGAUACUUGGUGUGAAUUGCAGAAUCCCGUGAACCAUCGAGUCUUUGAACGCAAGUUGCGCCCGGAGCCGUUAGGCCGAGGGCACGCCUGUUUGGGAGUC